rnacentral:tRNA from 1 species
GCUCCUAAAGGAUAUUAGUUCGUCCGUUGGUCUUAGGAACCAAUAUAUCUUGGUGCAAGUCCAAGUAGUAGCU